UACGUAGGGCGCAAGCGUUGUCCGGAAUUAUUGGGCGUAAAGAGCUCGUAGGCGGCUUGUCACGUCGGGUGUGAAAGCCCGGGGCUUAACCCCGGGUCUGCAUUCGAUACGGGCUAGCUAGAGUGUGGUAGGGGAGAUCGGAAUUCCUGGUGUAGCGGUGAAAUGCGCAGAUAUCAGGAGGAACACCGGUGGCGAAGGCGGCGACCUGGUCUGAUACUGACGCUGAGGCGCGACAGCGUGGGGAGCAAACAGG
rnacentral:rRNA from 1 species